CCAUUAGAGAGCAGAGCAGAGCACCAAGAAAUUUGUUUUUGUAAAAGAGUACUAUUAGAAAAAACGAGAGGUCCAAGAAAGACCCACAUGGACAAACCUUGUGAUGUAUGCGGUGGAACAGGCUUUGUAGGGUUGAUUGCUACUUGCUUUCAAUGUAAAAUAGCUUGGGAACACGUGUAUGAAUUAAAACUAUUGUAUACAGGUCCUCCUCAAAUAUGUUCCAGAAAUUUGGUUUUGUGAGACAUCAUGUUCUGGAGAUCAGUCACUCAAAAAUCUGUUAGAAAAAUAUUCUUUCAGAAGGCUUUAGGAAGGAUCAAACACCUUUGAGAUAAUCCACUCUGACAUGUCGCGAUCUGUGGGUUCCAGAAGGCUUGUUGAAGAGUCAGGCAGUUCAGGUCAUCUUCGAAAGCGAACUUCCUUGGGAACUGCCAAAGUAAAGUUUAUUCCUAUUGAAAAAGCUCUUAAAAUGUCAUAUGGAGCUCAAAAGGUGGAAUUGCCCUCACCAAGUAAAUUGCACUCAAGCUCUAUCCGAAUAGAUACCAUGGAAACAAUGUCUAGAAGGGCUUCCACUGAGUUAAAAUCUACCCCUCAAAAAAAUUCUUCACAGAAGGUGAAGGAAACUUACAAAAAUUUACCUGCUGGACAUUUAAAGCUUUCUGGACAUGGCAGUGAAAAAAUCAGUUCAAUCACUCCUGCACAAGAGCCUAAAUGUUGUACUGAAUUAAAAUGUAAGAUAACUCUAACGUCUAUUGCAUGGAAAACUUUUGUGAAAAAAUUUGGCAAACACAAGGGUCAAAAUUAAUUGUUGCAGUAUCUCAAAUAUUUUUAUGCAUUACAUAUUGAGCAUGCAUGGUCUUGAUUAUAGCCCCACCAGAUGGAUGGUGACAAUGAUUGAACAAAGCAGCAGUUAAUUUGACUCUUCUACUCAUAUCAACUACAAGUCCUCAGCUAUAUAUUAAGCACUGAGAAUCAGCUCUUGCAUGUGUCUCUGUGUGUGUGUGUGUGUAUGCAAGAUAUAUGUUUCUUUAUACUUUAUAUCCACUGUAAAUGCUGUAAGUAGGUAAUCAUGUACUUAUGAAUAUGACUGACCUUGCAAUUUCAGUUUCAGAUAAAGCAACCCCUAUUGAGUAUAAGAUUCAAAAUCUUUGCAAGAUAGAGUAACUGGAUACUUCAUGCAUCAACUUUCGAGGCAAAUUUUUUUUUGAUAACUUCAUAUAAUGUUUUGGUGUGCAAUAUGGUUCUUCAGUUAUGUGAUUGUCACUUGCUAAUUGAAUAUGUGUUUUCUCAGGAGGUAAUUUAUGUGCUGAUGCUAAACACAAGAACUCUAUCAUUCAAGGAUGUGGUCUGCCGAACAUUUUGCCCAAACCUUAGAUAAAUCUUCCAAGUAACCCAGUUUUAGAUGCUACCUGGUGCGGAAGCCUUGAGAUCCUUGAUAUGGUUUCUUGUGGUCAAUUUUGUGAUGGGUUCCGGGCUCAUCUUCCGGGGAAAGUCCAUCCUGAAGUUGUAGAGUAUUCAAGGCUCAUGCCUAACGUGCUCCAGUGUACGUUGCUCCUUUGUAGCAGUGUAUUGGCAGAAAUCUUUGAGAAUGACCGCCCCACUGUAAAUGAUAUGGCACUGUUCUUUUCCCCUGGCGAUUUUGAGAGGUCUAAACAACAGUAUUUUAGCCUCUUGGGACUUCUAGAGAUGCGAGAAAUGGCACUGAGGAGUCAUAUAAAUGGUGUCAAUCUAUUGAUUUCGUCUUCUAAGAGGCUAAAUCUAGAUUCUUGUGGACUGGAAGUAAUGGAAUCCUUCCUGUGGGGAGUAUAUUGCCCUGCAAAAGGCCAUCUGGCAGUUCCCUCUCUUCUUUUCUCUGACUCUUAAGAACAUGAUGCAGCAAAGAUUAGCUGCUUUUCUCACAAGUAAAAAUGGAAUGGACAUUGCAUUCCUCCUACUGGGGAUGCUGCUCAUAGGCAUUGCAUGAGUUAACAAACCCAGUGAUAACUUUGUUGUAUGUUUAAGUAAAAAGUUGCAAGGUUCUCUCAAAAUCCUUGGUAAGCGUUGCGUUGGAACACUUGCUUGAUCUAAA